UACGUAGGGUGCAAGCGUUGUCCGGAAUUAUUGGGCGUAAAGAGCUCGUAGGCGGUUUGUUGCGUCGGCUGUGAAAUUUCGGGGCUCAACCCCGAACUUGCAGUGGGUACGGGCAGACUAGAGUGUGGUAGGGGAGACUGGAAUUCCUGGUGUAGCGGUGAAAUGCGCAGAUAUCAGGAGGAACACCGAUGGCGAAGGCAGGUCUCUGGGCCAUAACUGACGCUGAGAAGCGAAAGCAUGGGGAGCGAACAGG
rnacentral:rRNA from 1 species